UGGGGGGAUAUUGCGGCAAUGGGGGCAACCCUGACGCAGCAACGCCGCGUGAAGGAAGACGGUUUUUCGGAUUGUAAACUUCUUUUAUUAAGGACGAACAGUGACGGUACUUAAUGAAUAAGCUCCGGCUAACUACGUGCCAGCAGCCGCGGUAAUACGUAGGGAGCAAGCGUUAUCCGGAUUUACUGGGUGUAAAGGGUGCGUAGGCGGCUUGAUAAGUCAGAUGUGAAAUGUAUGGGCUCAACCCAUGAACUGCAUUUGAAACUAUUGAGCUUGAGUGAAGUAGAGGUAGGCGGAAUUCCCUGUGUAGCGGUGAAAUGCGUAGAGAUAGGGAGGAACACCAGUGGCGAAGGCGGCCUACUGGGCGAUAACUGACGCUGAGGCGCGAAAGCGUGGGGAGCAAACAGGGAUUAGAUACCCUGGUAGU
rnacentral:rRNA from 1 species